UACUCUUAGCGGUGGAUCUCACGUGGCUCGUAGAUCGAUGGAGAACGCAGCUAGCUGCAAAAAUGAAUAACCAUGAAUUGCAGACACAUUGAGCACCAAAAAAUUUCGAACGCACAUUACGCCAUCGAAUAGUGAGACUCUGAAAUAAACGUUAUGUUCAAGGCAUUUAUUUUUCAGGUGAG
rnacentral:rRNA from 1 species